CAGCAGCCGCGGUAAUACGUAGGUGGCAAGCGUUGUCCGGAAUUAUUGGGCGUAAAGGGCUCGCAGGCGGUUUCUUAAGUCUGAUGUGAAAGCCCCCGGCUCAACCGGGGAGGGUCAUUGGAAACUGGGAAACUUGAGUGCAGAAGAGGAGAGUGGAGUUCCACGUGUAGCGGUGAAAUGCGUAGAGAUGUGGAGGAACACCAGUGGCGAAGGCGACUCUCUGGUCUGUAACUGACGCUGAGGAGCGAAAGCGUGGGGAGCGAACAGGAUUAGAUACCCCUGUAGUCCCUGUCUCUUAUAC
rnacentral:rRNA from 1 species